UAUACAUGCAAGUCGAGCGGACUUGAUGAGAAGCUUGCUUCUCUGAUGGUUAGCGGCGGACGGGUGAGUAACACGUAGGCAACCUGCCUGUAAGAUCGGGAUAACUACCGGAAACGGUAGCUAAGACCGGAUAACCGGUUUCUCCGCAUGGAGAGAUCGUGAAACACGGAGCAAUCUGUGGCUUACGGAUGGGCCUGCGGCGCAUUAGCUAGUUGGUGAGGUAACGGCUCACCAAGGCGACGAUGCGUAGCCGACCUGAGAGGGUGAACGGCCACACUGGGACUGAGACACGGCCCAGACUCCUACGGGAGGCAGCAGUAGGGAAUCUUCCGCAAUGGACGCAAGUCUGACGGAGCAACGCCGCGUGAGUGAUGAAGGUUUUCGGAUCGUAAAGCUCUGUUGCCAGGGAAGAACGCCAAGGAGAGUAACUGCUCUUUGGGUGACGGUACCUGAGAAGAAAGCCCCGGCUAACUACGUGCCAGCAGCCGCGGUAAUACGUAGGGGGCAAGCGUUGUCCGGAAUUAUUGGGCGUAAAGCGCGCGCAGGCGGUUUUUUAAGUCUGGUGUUUAAUCCCGAGGCUCAACCUCGGUUCGCACCGGAAACUGGGAGACUGGAGUGCAGGAGAGGAAAGUGGAAUUCCACGUGUAGCGGUGAAAUGCGUAGAGAUGUGGAGGAACACCA
rnacentral:rRNA from 1 species